GUGGGGAAUCUUGCACAAUGGGCGAAAGCCUGAUGCAGCGACGCCGCGUGAGCGAAGAAGGCCUUUGGGCCGUAAAGCUCUGUCGGGAGGGAAGAAGGAAGCGACGGUACCUCCCAAGGAAGCCCCGGCUAACUACGUGCCAGCAGCCGCGGUAACACGUAGGGGGCGAGCGUUAUCCGGAAUCAUUGGGCGUAAAGGGUACGUAGGCGGCCUUUUAAGCGCGGGGUCUAAGGCGGUGGCCCAACCACCGUUCGCCCCGCGAACUGAGGGGCUUGAGUGUCGGAGAGGGAAGCGGAAUUCCUAGUGUAGCGGUGAAAUGCGUAGAUAUUAGGAGGAACACCAGUGGCGAAGGCGGCUUCCUGGACGAAGACUGACGCUGAGGUACGAAAGCGUGGGGAGCGAACAGGA
rnacentral:rRNA from 1 species